rnacentral:rRNA from 1 species
CGAGCGGCGGACGGGUGAGUAACACGUGGGUAACCUGCCCAAGAGACUGGGAUAACACCUGGAAACAGAUGCUAAUACCGGAUAACAACACUAGACGCAUGUCUAGAGUUUGAAAGAUGGUUCUGCUAUCACUCUUGGAUGGACCUGCGGUGCAUUAGCUAGUUGGUAAGGUAACGGCUUACCAAGGCAAUGAUGCAUAGCCGAGUUGAGAGACUGAUCGGCCACAUUGGGACUGAGACACGGCCCAAACUCCUACGGGAGGCAGCAGUAGGGAAUCUUCCACAAUGGACGAAAGUCUGAUGGAGCAACGCCGCGUGAGUGAAGAAGGGUUUCGGCUCGUAAAGCUCUGUUGGUAGUGAAGAAAGAUAGAGGUAGUAACUGGCCUUUAUUUGACGGUAAUUACUUAGAAAGUCACGGCUAACUACGUGCCAGCAGCCGCGGUAAUACGUAGGUGGCAAGCGUUGUCCGGAUUUAUUGGGCGUAAAGCGAGUGCAGGCGGUUCAAUAAGUCUGAUGUGAAAGCCUUCGGCUCAACCGGAGAAUUGCAUCAGAAACUGUUGAACUUGAGUGCAGAAGAGGAGAGUGGAACUCCAUGUGUAGCGGUGGAAUGCGUAGAUAUAUGGAAGAACACCAGUGGCGAAGGCGGCUCUCUGGUCUGCAACUGACGCUGAGGCUCGAAAGCAUGGGUAGCGA